rnacentral:sRNA from 1 species
GAUGAGAAGCUUCGAUUAAGGUUCGAUUCGAGCGCAGCGAGAAAGCGUUGCCGCAGGCAACGACCCGAAGGGCGAAGCGCGCAGCGCUGAGUCAUC